rnacentral:tRNA from 1 species
UUUGAUGUGGUGGAAUUGGUAGACACGCCAGGUUUAGGUUCUGGUCCAUCCGGGUGCGAGUUCAAGUCUCGCCAUCAAAA